rnacentral:rRNA from 1 species
UACGAAGGUCCCAAGCGUUGUUCGGAAUCACUGGGCGUAAAGCGUGUGUAGGCUGCGCGGAAAGUCAAAUGUGAAAGCCCGGGGCUCAACCUCGGAACUGCAUUCGAUACUCCCGUGCUGGAGUCAUGGAGAGGUGAGUGGAAUUCCCGGUGUAGCAGUGAAAUGCGUGGAUAUCGGGAGGAACAUCAAUGGCGAAGGCAACUCACUGGACAUGUACUGACGCUCAGACACGAAGGCCAGGGGAGCGAAAGGG